rnacentral:tRNA from 1 species
UGGCUCAGCAGGUAAGAGCACUGGCUGUUCUUCCAGAGGACCUGGGUUCAAUUCCCAG